UACAGAGGUCUCAAGCGUUGUUCGGAUUCAUUGGGCGUAAAGGGUGCGUAGGCGGCGCGGUAAGUCGGGUGUGAAAUCUCGGGGCUUAACUCCGAAACUGCAUUCGAUACUGCCGUGCUUGAGUGUGGGAGAGGCGCGUGGAAAUUGCAGGUGUAGCGGUGAAAUGCGUAGAUAUCUGCAGGAACACCCGUGGCGAAAGCGGCGCGCUGGACCACUACUGACGCUGAGGAACGAAAAGCUAGGGGGAGCAAAAC
rnacentral:rRNA from 1 species